ACAUGACAAGGCACAGAGUGCUCGAGGUCGUUCAGUUCUCCCCACUUCAGACAGACCAGGAAACCUCCAGUGGCUUGUAAAAGGCACUGGGCAUCCAUCCCUCAGCAGGGAUGCGGUGCCAUCGCCUGCCCUAAUCCUAACCCCUGCAUAGCACACCCCAAAGCGUGAAACUCCACAAACCCCACAAGUGAGAUCUGCCCCAGUCUACAGAGACAAGAGCACUGCCAGGGUUAUUGGGUGAUGGUGCAGCACAGCGCUGCCAACUGCGCCCACACCUCGGCAUUUGCAGCAGGAGCGAUGCGCAACUGAAAUCAUUUAUGCAACUUCCAUUUAUCCAAAUUAAAAGCAUCCCCCAGGAGCCUGGCAGGUCACCAAGCCCUUGGCUGAGCAAUGCCUGGGCUCAGAGUCAUCGUAUUUUUAAUUUCGUCUUCCUCUGUUUCGUGAUGAAAUAUUUAAGAGCAAUUGUUUAAGGAGACAAGAAUGCCAAUCCUGCGUCUGGGAGACCGGCACCGUCAGAGGAACAGAUGGACAAAGCCUCACGGCGCUCCCCACAGCAGUCAUUAUCCCAUUCUCUGACCCGCAUGUGGGGAGGCAGAGGGGUGUUUGCUGCUGCACACCGUGAGUCACCCCGUGAGCUGCACUACCUGCAGAGCUUGGUGCUGUAAACAGACCAUAAAAGCGAUGCGUGUCUGCAGAGUCAGAGGGCGACCUGCUGCUGCCUCUCCCUGCGCCUGCAUUGAUGCCCCUGCAACCCUGGGACCGGGCCACUGCGGUGCUGCGGCUGCACCCUGCCCCUUGCCCACUGCAACUGCCUCUCCUACCACCCAGCGGUGCCCGAGGCAAUGUCCCCAAGUCCAUGAGAAUGUCACUUUCCUGUUUGCCGUGCCUCCUCCAGGAGAACAACCCAACCUCGUUAUGUUCUUAAUCCCGGAUUUCAUUAUUUUAUUAAUCCCACAAUGCGCCGUGAGCGCAGGGAUGGGGUUGUGCAGCUGCUCCUGGCAUGUGGCUGAGGGAGGGCACUUGUGCAGCAGCCGGGCUAUAGAUAGUGGUGGGAGCGGCCUCCUGCAGGGCUCCAGCACUGAAAAUAGGCACAGCUCCCCGACACACGCCUGCCCGGCAGCUCCGCUCCUCUAAAAGGAGAGCAGGAAGAAGCUGGGCUGGCAGGGAGCAGCAUGUAGGAGCCCUUAAAGAGCCCACCAAAAUGCAGGAGAGCUGCUCACACGCUCCCAGCGUGGUUUCUCUCCUCUCCUCUCUCCCGUUGCACUAGGACCCUGGGACACACCGCUUCCCAAGCUGGGACACGCUCAGCUGCUGGAUUCCCAAAUAUAGCCCUGCACACAGCAGCAGGACAGCUGCUCCCCGCCGCUGCCCUUCCGGAUCACCAACCUCAGCAGUGCUCCUCUCUCUGUGCCAAGGAACAAACCUCCAUCCAGUGCUGCACAGAGCACUGGGGAUGAGGGUCCCAGCAGCUCCAUGUGCUGAAUGCAGCUCCCCAACAUCUCCCAGCCACGUGCUGCAGGCAGGAGCAGCGGCCUGUGUGUGCUCCCUGCCCUCGCAGCAGCCACAGCCAGCAGCUGGUGGGGCUCAGAGGAGUUUCGGAGCCAGGAACUUUUUACUUAGUUUGGAAAUAGCUUUGCAAAUGACUUGCUUUCCCAUCUUAAACUGUUUGGAUUUUGCAGUGCAUUCUCAAUAACUCAGCUGUAUUUUUUUUCUGCCCCGUCAGUCUUUGGAAUAGUUUCUGGCUGAGGAAACAUUUUUUUUUCCAUUUGCUUUGCAGUUUCACGCAGCUGCUUUUGCUGCUCUUUUUCCUCCCGCAGCCUAACUCCUGCGGGAUGAAAACCGGGGUCUGCCCCAGGUCUGGCUGCAUCUCAGGGCAUUGCCAAGCGGGCACAGCCACAGCCCCACUGCAGACUAUAGCACUGCGUGCUGCCCUCAGUGCUUCCACAAGAAAAGUGGAGCUGCCUGCUUUGGUGAUAUUUGCACAUUUUGAAAGCACGGCCCUUCAGCUGCAGUCCCACCAGGUGAUGCUGUAACAGUAAACCAGGACUUAAAGCUCCUUUUAAUUGAGCGAUUCCCCUGGUCCCAGCAGGCACACGGUGCAUGGCAGGCAGGAGGGAUGCUCUGUGCUCGCUUC
rnacentral:lncRNA from 1 species